rnacentral:rRNA from 1 species
CCUACGGACGGCAGCAGUGAGGAAUAUUGGUCAAUGGACGAGAGUCUGAACCAGCCAAGUAGCGUGAAGGAUGACUGCCCUCUGGGUUGUAAACUUCUUUUAUAAAGGAAUAAAACGAGGCACGUGUGCCUUUUUGCAUGUACUUUAUGAAUAAGGACCGGCUAACUCCGUGCCAGCAGCCGCGGUAAUACGGAGGACCCGAGCGUUAUCCGGAUUUAUUGGGGUGAAAGGGAGCGUAGAUGGGUUGUUAAGUCAGUUGUGAAAGUUUGCGGCUCAACCGUAAGAUUGCAAUUGAUACUGGCAGUCUUGAGUGCAGUUGAGGUAGGCGGAAUUCGUGGUGUAGCGGUGAAAUGCUUAGAUAUCACGAAGAACCCCGAUUGCGAAGGCAGCUUGCUAAACUGUGACUGACGUUGAGGCUCGAAAGUGUGGGUAUCAAACAGGAUUAGAUACCCGGGUAGUC